GAAGGGGGCUAGCGUUGCUCGGAAUUACUGGGCGUAAAGGGCGCGUAGGCGGAUAGUUUAGUCAGAGGUAAAAGCCCAGGGCUCAACCUUGGAACUGCCUUUGAUACUGGCUAUCUUGAGUUCGGGAGAGGUGAGUGGAAUGCCGAGUGUAGAGGUGAAAUUCGUAGAUAUUCGGCGGAACACCAGUGGCGAAGGCGACUCACUGGCCCGAUACUGACGCUGAGGCGCGAAAGCGUGGGGAGCAAACAGGAUUAGAUACCCUGGUAGUCCACGCUGUAAACGAUGAGUGCUAGUUGUCGGCAUGCAUGCAUGUCGGUGACGCAGCUAACGCAUUAAGCACUCCGCCUGGGGAGUACGGUCGCAAGAUUA
rnacentral:rRNA from 2 species